rnacentral:misc_RNA from 1 species
AUCCCAUAAACCGUGGCUCAGUUCAGAUCGUAGGCUGCAACUCGCCUACGUGAAGGCGGAAUCGCUAGUAAUCGCAGGUCAGCAUACUGCGGUGAAUACGUUCCCGGGCCUUGUACACACCGCCCGUCACACCAUGGAAGUUGGCCACGCCCGAAGCCGUUACUCCAACCCUUGUGGAGGAGGACGUCGAAGGUGGGGCUGAUGACUGGGGUGAAGUCGUAACAAGGUAUCCGUACCGGAAGGUGCGGAUGGAUCACCUCCUAACAGGGAGACAACACAAUGAUUUUGAUGCCUGAGUGCUUUUAUUCUUAGGCCGAAAUCCUGUCACCUUAGGUCGAUCGGUACCUCAGCUUUGAAGUCAAGGAUCAGCAGCAAUGUUGAUUGCUUGAUGGAGAUUUUCAGUUCCUAAACUUUGUCUAGGUCACACCCCAAAAGGGAUGAGACUCCUGGGCCAUUAGCUCAGGUGGUUAGAGCGCACCCCUGAUAAGGGUGAGGUCCCUGGUUCAAGUCCAGGAUGGCCCAUUCGGUGUUGGGGGUUUAGCUCAGUUGGUAGAGCGCCUGCUUUGCAAGCAGGAUGUCAGGAGUUCGAGUCUCCUAACCUCCACUGACCGAACUUGAUUCCCAUCUCCAAUUUUUUGGAGUUGAGCUCGAUUGGAGUGUGAUUUAGAUGUGUCCGCUGGAUGACCCCAGCUUCCUGUCAUUCUAAGUUUUAGGUUGAUGCCUUGAAUUUAGUUGAUAAGAUGCUGGGCU